AUGAGGAUGUCUUACCCUUCAAAGGCAGUCGUCACGUCUCCCCCCAUUUCCAUAAUGAAGCCUCCACUUCCCAGACCCAAGCCUAACUCCUUCCUGCCCUCAUUGGCUGAAUCAAAAAGAGAUCCUUCAGUUCACAUCAAGCUCCCAACUCCGAUCCCCAGGACGUCUCGAUUAGCCAACCUAAAGGAAGCUUCCCAGAGGUACGUGUAUCUAAAGAUCAAUUCUAACUUUCAAAAGGGUAAAUCUGAAGUAUUUUAUAUUUAUGUUCAGUUUG
rnacentral:lncRNA from 1 species